GGUAGCUCAGUGGUAGAGCGCAUGCUUGGUGUGCACGAGGUCCUGGGUUCGAUUCCCAGUUUCUCCU